UAGGGAAUCUUCGGCAAUGGGGGCAACCCUGACCGAGCAACGCCGCGUGAGUGAAGAAGGUGUUCGGAUCGUAAAGCUCUGUUGUAAGAGAAGAACGUGUGUGAGAGUGGAAAGUUCACACAGUGACGGUAACUUACCAGAAAGGGACGGCUAACUACGUGCCAGCAGCCGCGGUAAUACGUAGGUCCCGAGCGUUGUCCGGAUUUAUUGGGCGUAAAGCGAGCGCAGGCGGUUUAAUAAGUCUGAAGUUAAAGGCAGUGGCUUAACCAUUGUUCGCUUUGGAAACUGUUAAACUUGAGUGCAGAAGGGGAGAGUGGAAUUCCAUGUGUAGCGGUGAAAUGCGUAGAUAUAUGGAGGAACACCGGUGGCGAAAGCGGCUCUCUGGUCUGUAACUGACGCUGAGGCUCGAAAGCGUGGGGAGCAAACAGGA
rnacentral:rRNA from 1 species